GGACCCGCACAAGCGGUGGAGCAUGUGGCUUAAUUCGAUGCAACGCGAAGAACCUUACCUGGGCUUGACAUGUUAGUCGUAGAUUUGUGAAAGCUUAUCGUCACUUCGGGUGGACUAUCACAGGUGCUGCAUGGCUGUCGUCAGCUCGUGUCGUGAGAUGUUGGGUUAAGUCCCGUAACGAGCGCAACCCCUAUGAACUGUUGCCAGCGGAUAAUGCCGGGGACUCUGUUCAGACUGCCCAGAUUAACUGGGAGGAAGGAGGGGAUGACGUCAAGUCAGUAUGGCCCUUACGCCCAGGGCUGCACACGUGCUACAAUGUCCAGUACAAUGUGAACCGAUGCCGCGAGGUGGAGGAAAUCUUGAAAACUGGGCUCAGUUCGGAUUGUAGUCUGCAACUCGACUACAUG
rnacentral:rRNA from 1 species